rnacentral:lncRNA from 1 species
AUUCCAUUGCUGUGAAGAGACAACAUAACCACCGCAACUCUUAUAAAAGAAAGCAUUGAAUUGAGGAUGGCUUACAGUUCAGAGGUUCAGACCAUUGUCAUCAUGUUGGGGAAGCAUGGGAACAUGCAGGCGGACAUGGAGCUGGGGAGUAGCUGAGUGUUCUACAUCGGGAUCAGCAGGCAACAGGGACAGUAAGAGGUAACGUGUCAAGAUGGUACUCAACUGUAAGAAGUGGGAGAGGAGGAAAGAGAGCCCUUCACGUGUGUCAAGAGAGUAUUCAAGGGGAGAGAAAAAUUACUGGAGAUCCCUACCCUAGGAGUCAGCUUUCAUCAAGGAAGAAACUCCUCUCCUAAGCCACUUCUAGCUGCUGCAGUGCUGUGACUUGACCUGUCUGCGAACGUCACAAGGAGAGACUGAACAAGAAGUGUGUGAACGGAAUGAGAGGUUUGUUAAUUCCUGCAAGUUGGUCACUGUGGUGGACACCUGCAUCAAUGAACCAUCUUGUGCCCUGUCUAUAUAUAGUCCAUCGCUGGCAUUUGAUGGCAGACUUGACUUCUAAUUGACAUGCAGAUAUGAUACCCUGGUAGGAGAAACUAUAUCUUCAAACUGAAUUCUGAGCUUCUCCCGCCAAUGUGCAGUUGUCAAAUCGGGUGCUGAACUUUGCCUCCCCUAUCCCCUUCAGGCCAGAGUGUUAUAGAGCUUUUAAGCCUGAAAACCACAGACAUCUGUGCUAAGCUGUAGUUACAUUUUUCUACCAGUCAGGAUUCAGGGCUAGGGGCCUUCACUGGGAACAUUUCUCUGUGUGGCACAUUUAUCCUGUUCUCAUUGGUUGGUUGAUACCGCUGUGGAGGGGAGACUUGCCUAGUAUUCCUAUGUCUGCCAAGGAGGAUGUCAGCUACAGCAGGGGGGUCUUGGGAACUUAAAUUUUAUUUGACCCCUAUUCAAAAUGGAAGUUUUAUUCAAAAUGGCUUCAUCUUGGUUCCUUCUUACACAGUAUCACACGGUAAGGGCGAGCUUCUGUUCCUAGUGUACCAGUCAUGUGAACGCAGGCAAAAGAAGCUGACACAGUAGACAUGGCUUCAGUCUUGAGGUGGUUUCACCAUUUUCCAAUUAUCUGAUGGUGUGAAGGUUGCACUUUAUUUUUACCCACAGUAAACAUAUGCUAAUGAUGAGCACAGAGACUUAUUGAAUAAACAACCUCUUGUGUAGUAUCCAAUAAUGUAAUGAGGUAGUCAACAUUUUUAUGUUCUAAAAUAGCCUUUGUGUUAGCGGUCUCAGCCCAAACCUCAGGCUUCUUUGAGUUGCGUGCACAUGAGCGGUG